CCCACCCUGCAGUCGCUUCUCCCAUCAGCUGGGAGAGGAAGGGGAAGCUGAGAAGGUGGGUUUAUAAAUUUAAGAGGACAUUAGCAUGUGAAAUCAUUGUAACAGCUUAGGGUCAGGAAAGGAGAAAAUCAGCACCAGGAGGUUUGAGAAGCCAUGAAAGACAGAGUCAGGGCAUCCAGCCCUGUGUCUGGGUGCUGGGCCAGGGGUGGAAUAGCACAGAGGAGGGCAGAGGGGUGCCAGGCACUCCGAGCUUGCCUGGCCCAGACCCCUUCCCCACCUGUGUCGGGAUCGUGGGUCAGCAGGCGGAGAGGCCCAGGCUCUUCCCCGCGGUCUUCGCAGCGUUUCAGAUCUGGAAGCAGCCUGCCUGUCUCAGGAGCGGCUGCUUGACUGUGUGGCGGCACCUGCGUGGACUCCUGUGCCGUCCAUCUGCCUGGAACACAGCUGCGGCCCCGGUGCAGACGGACGUGCAGAGGGGAGGCUGGACAGCUGCUUCUCACCUCCCUUUGUAACAUCUGAUUUGUGUUUUGUUGGAUCCUAUCCCUCGGGCUGAUCUGGACCUCGUCGUUCACACCUCUGAGCCUCUGUUGUCUUGCCGAUAAAAUGGGGACAGUAGCGCCCACCAGGCUGCCCAGUGGGGCCAGUAACUGCCCAGUCUGGGGCCUGGCACACAGGAGGCACCGGGUGGACAGAUGGAUGAACGGACGGACAGACGGAUGGAUGGUGCCCUUUCCGUCCACUUCCUGACCCUACCCAGCAUGGGCAUCGACUUCAGGCCAUGGCCCCCCUCCCUCACACGGCCUCCCAGAGAGGUCUCCUUUGCACCUCCUCGAGCUAGUGAAUAAACGGAUGAAUAUG